UACGUAGGGUGCGAGCGUUGUCCGGAAUUACUGGGCGUAAAGAGCUCGUAGGUGGUUUGUCGCGUUGUUCGUGAAAACUCACAGCUCUACUGUGGGCGUGCGGGCGAUACGGGCAGACUGGAGUACUGCAGGGGAGACUGGAAUUCCUGGUGUAGCGGUGGAAUGCGCAGAUAUCAGGAGGAACACCGGUGGCGAAGGCGGGUCUCUGGGCAGUAACUGACGCUGAGGAGCGAAAGCGUGGGGAGCGAACAGG
rnacentral:rRNA from 1 species